CGGUUUUAUGUUUAGGAAAAUGAGCUGGGGUUUGGAUCCAUAACAUUAGGGUGAGAAAAUCAAGUGAGACUCGCAAAGUUGCCCCUGUCUUGGGAUUGUAGGUUGAUGAAGUCUAAGGCGAAGCCGCAUGAUGAGAUUCACCAAGCUGCCCCAAUUUUUCUUUGGCAUGGGGUUCUGUUUAGAAGAAGUGGUGGGCAUGAAAAGGAUAGGCUGAAAGGAUGGCCCCAACUGGUUUCAUUCUCUUUUGCAUGUCUUUGGGCUAGUUGGCAGGAAGAUCCCCUUUUCUUGAGACAUUUAUUUUUUCCUUUUUUUUUUCUUCUCUUCUCUUUUUUAGUUUUUUAUUCUCUUUUUUUUUUUUUUUGACACAUUGAAAGUCAUUUCCCCUUAUCGCAAAGUUAAGCUUUAUGAAAACUUUAGCAAACAUUAUCCAAUCUGUGUGGACUUUAUUAAGCUUGUAACGUGGCUAAAGGCUAAAAGGUAUUGAAAGAAAGGAUAUGAAGGCCCAAAUGAAUGUUUGUUGGUUAUUAUUUUUUUGAAACCGGGGUUAUCACCUAAGUAUUUCAUCAACUAUUUGACUUUUUUGAGCACUUUUUUUUUUCGAACUUUGAUUUUCAUUCUCUUUGCUCAUCAUCACUUUGUGAUUUUUUGUUCUUUUUGUUUGCCUGUUUGUUUUUUCUUUCUUUUUUCUUCUCUUCUUGAUGAAUUCUCUUUAUUUGACAAUUGAGUGCUCUUAUUUGCGACAUGAGUUGACUCUUACCUAAUGACAACCCUUGCUUGGGGAUGAUUUUGAAAAAAGAAUUUAUUUUUUGCUCAAAUAGGGUGACAAUGGAUAUAUAUAUAUUUUUUUGUUUUUAGGUAGAGUCAAGAAGGCCACACAUCAUUUUGAACUCUGAUUGCUUUAUUUUCAAAAGAUUAAUUUUGCGACUGGAUGACCUCAACAUGAGUUUUUUCUUUUUGUUUCUUGCUUUUUCCUUUCUAGACUGCCCUUUCGGGUUUUCAAUCUAGUGGACUUAUUCUCUUUUUGAAAGUUUUUUUUUUGUUUUUUUUUUUUUUGUUCUUUUGUUCGUCUCAGUGGAUUCGAGGAUCACCCAACUAACGCAAGCGUGUUGAGGGAAAAUCCUUUAUUUUGGGAAAGUGAAGGGUGAAGGUUUUCAAGCAGCAUGUGCACAAACGUCUUGAGAGAAGUGUCAAAAUUGUUAUUUUUGAUUUAACAUUUGACCUCGGAAAAGUCCGACACUACAACUUUUGUUUUUAUUGCCAUUUUUUUCAUUAUUUUUUACAAGAGUUUGAAGAUUUGCAAGAAAGACGAAUGACUCAAGAUCGCCAUUAUUUUUUUCAAUUUUGUUUUCUUUACUUUUUUUUUUUGUUAUUUACGGCUUUUUGUUUUCUCCGUGACACCCUAUUAGGACAUGAUUUCCAGUAAACCUUGGAGAAAAUCGCGUAUUGAAAGUUCACACCAAAAUUCAAUGGAUGAAAGCAUAAUAUCAAUGAGCAUGGUCUUUACAAAAGGACAAUUCAAGACAUUAGCAAAGUGACAUCAGUUUCACUUUUUUACAACUGACCCAUGCUUUCCUAUAUAGACUUAGAGUUCUCUUCAUUUGUCCAUGGCAUUUGCAGAGGUGGACCCACGCCUUGCCACAAUGUUGUAUUGACUUUCUUCAAACUUUAAGCAUCCUGAAUCGAUCAAAGAUUGCACUUUAUGCUUUAGAGCCUUGCAUGCCUCUGUUGAAUGCCC
rnacentral:lncRNA from 1 species